rnacentral:rRNA from 1 species
UACAGAGGGUGCAAGCGUUGUUCGGAAUUACUGGGCGUAAAGCGCGUGUAGGCUGCGGUGUAAGUCGGACGUGAAAGCCCUUGGCUUAACCAAGGAAGUGCAUCCGAUACUGCGUCGCUUGAGUGCCGGAGGGGGUGGCGGAAUUCCCGGUGUAGAGGUGAAAUUCGUAGAUAUCGGGAGGAACACCUGUGGCGAAGGCGGCCACCUGGACGGUAACUGACGCUGAGACGCGAAAGCGUGGGGAGCGAACAGG